GACGAACGCUGGCGGCGUGCUUAACACAUGCAAGUCGAACGAGUGGCGAACGGGUGAGUAACGCAUCGGAACGUACCGAGGAAUGGGGGAUAACUGUCCGAAAGGACAGCUAAUACCGCAUACUAUUCGAGCGGCCGAUGUCGUAUUAGCUGGUUGGCGGGGUAAAGGCCCACCAAGGCGACGAUCAGUAGCGGGUCUGAGAGGAUGAUCCGCCACACUGGGACUGAGACACGGCCCAGACUCCUACGGGAGGCAGCAGUGGGGAAUUGUGGGCAAUGGGCGCAAGCCUGAUCCAGCCAUGCCGCGUGUCUGAAGAAGGCCUUCGGGUUGUAAAGGACUUUUGUCGGGGAAGCGGUACCUGAAGAAUAAGCACCGGCUAACUACGUGCCAGCAGCCGCGGUAAUAC
rnacentral:rRNA from 1 species